rnacentral:rRNA from 1 species
GAUGAACGCUGGCGGCGUGCCUAAUACAUGCAAUUCGAGCGAACGGACGAGAAGCUUGCUUCUCUGAUGUUAGCGGCGGACGGGUGAGUAACACGUGGAUAACCUACCUAUAAGACUGGGAUAACUUCGGGAACCCGGAGCUAAUACCGGAUAAUAUUUUGAACCGCAUGGUUCAAAAGUGAAAGACGGUCUUGCUGUCACUUAUAGAUGGAUCCGCGCUGCAUUAGCUAGUUGGUAAGGUAACGGCUUACCAAGGCAACGAUGCAUAGCCGACCUGAGAGGGUGAUCGGCCACACUGGAACUGAGACACGGUCCAGACUCCUACGGGAGGCAGCAGUAGGGAAUCUUCCGAAAUGGGCGAAAGCCUGAAGGAGCAAAGCCGCGUGAGUGAUGAAGGUCUUCGGAUCGUAAAACUCUGUUAUUAGGGAAGAACAUAUGUGUAAGUAACUGUGCAAAUCUUGACGGUACCUAAUCAGAAAGCCACGGCUAACUAAGUG